CAGAUCAUGUCUUCUGAUUGAUAAUUUUUUAUCUACCAAUUCUUGUCAUAGAGUGAAAGAAAUGAACCACACGCCUUCCUAUCCAUUUCCUUUACGGCAUCCACAUUGAACUUCUUUGUAAUGCUUUUUAUUGAUGGCCUAUCAAAGGGAUAUCCCAUCAAGUCUAAACUGCGCAGCUACGAACCCCAAGUGAAAAUUCACAUAGUUCCAAGUCGUUUGUUCAUCUUUGAAGGUGUCAAAAU
rnacentral:lncRNA from 1 species